rnacentral:misc_RNA from 1 species
UGUGGGAGCGAGCCUGCUCGCGAUAGCGCUGGGUCAGUCAACAUCUAUAUUGGUUGUUCGAUUGCUAUCGCGAGCAGGCUCGCUCCCACA